rnacentral:rRNA from 1 species
CCUACGGGAGGCAGCAGUGAGGAAUAUUGGACAAUGGACGAGAGUCUGAAGCAGCCAAGUAGCGUGAAGGAUGACUGCCCUAGGGGUGGUAAACUUCUUUUAUAGGGGAAUAAAAUGUUGCACGUGUGGGAUUUUGUAUGUACGGUAUGUAUAAGGAUCGGCUAACUCCGUGCCAGCAGCCGCGGUAAUACGGAGGAUCCGAGCGUUAUCCGGAUUUAUUGGGUUUAAAGGGAGCGUAGGUGGGUUGUUAAGUCAGUUGUGAAAGUCUGCGGCUCAACCGUAAAAUUGCAGUUGAAACUGGCAGUCUUGAGUACAGUAGAGGUGGGCGGAAUUCGAGGUGUAGCGGUGAAAUGCUUAGAUAUCACGAAGAACUCCGAUUGCGAAGGCAGCUCACUGGACUGCAACUGACACUGAGGCUCGAAAGUGUGGGUAUCAAACAGGAUUAGAUACCCUUGUAGUC